CGAAAGAAGUGUCUGGCAACUGAAGGUAUUGUCGUUGUGUCAAUAAUCUAACGCUUCUCGGAGGAUUUUGAUAAUGACUGACUGUGGUAACUUCGAUGUGGAGUCGUAUCGCCAACCGUGGGAGAGUGAUGAACAUUGGGUUAUGAGAAGAGACUUCUUAGUAACUCAUUCUGACAAGCUGCCUUUGAAUAGACUCUUGUGUUUAGCUCAAGUAUUUGUAAAUGUUGAGCUUUUAGGCUGCAGGUACCCUGUUCCAGUGAUGCGACAAGUAGCUGAACUUUCGAAGGAUAUAAAUAGUGCAAGAGAUUUGCAUAGUAAGCGGCAGGAUCGAACACAAAUUCAUUUUGUCAUGUCAAAUGAGGCCAAAAGGUCGCAACCUGUUAAAAGAACAUCAAAAUUAUCGUGAAUUUUGUGUGCAAGUGUGAGUUAGUUAAUACAGAAGUUUGAUGGAUUAUUUGGUAAUAAAAAACAUCGUAAACCUUGA
rnacentral:misc_RNA from 1 species